UACGUAGGGGUGCAGCGUUGUCCGGAAUUAUUGGGCGUAAAGAGCUCGUAGGCGGUCUGUCGCGUCUGCUGUGAAAACUCGGGGCUUAACCCCGGGCCUGCAGUGGGUACGGGCAGACUAGAGUGCGGUAGGGGAGACUGGAAUUCCUGGUGUAGCGGUGAAAUGCGCAGAUAUCAGGAGGAACACCGGUGGCGAAGGCGGAUCUCUGGGCCAUUACUGACGCUGAGGAGCGAAAGCGUGGGGGAGCGAACAGG
rnacentral:rRNA from 1 species